UUCCGAAUUAUUCGAUAUGAAGGAUAUUGUAUUUUAAUUGGAAUCAUUAUUCUAACAGAACAUACUAUAAUUGAAGGAGCCUUACUCUUUUUCUGAAACUGAAGGAGCCUACAGGUAUAGCUCCCAUUGUAACCGAGGGCCCCACUCCGUUGAGUAGACUUCGUCGAGGUGGUGAUUGAGUUGGAGUCGAGCCUCAGGGUUGAGAUGCUCAUGGUGGUCAUGGCGGCGGCGUACGGUGGCGCUGUGCUCGGAAAAAACGAAUAUAUGCGGAGAGACAGAAGGAGGAGGAAAAGAAGUUUUUCAAGGGUUUAAGAAAAAAAAGUUGAGAAUAUUUUAGGUGGGACCAACUGUUGUAAGUCGCACCAGAUAUGUCGCAUAAGUAAAAUUUACAAGGAGAGUGAUAAUAAUGGUUCGAGAAGUUUUUCAAGGGUUUAAGAAAAACAAGUUGAGAAUGUUUUAGGUGGGACCAACUGUUGUAAGUCGCACCAGAUACGUCGCAU
rnacentral:lncRNA from 1 species